UACGGAGGAUGCAAGCGUUAUCCGGAAUGAUUGGGCGUAAAGCGUCCGCAGGUGGCAAUGUAAGUCUGCUGUCAAAGCGUCUGGCUCAACCAGAUAAAGGCAGUGGAAACUACAUAGCUAGAGUAAGGUAGGGGUAGAGGGAAUUCCUGGUGUAGCGGUGAAAUGCGUAGAGAUCAGGAAGAACACCAGUGGCGAAGGCGGUUACCUGGAGCUUUGCUGACGCUGAUGCGCGAAAGCGUGGGGAGCGAUCCGG
rnacentral:rRNA from 1 species